AGAGUUUGAUCCUGGCUCAGAUUGAACGCUGGCGGAAUGCUUUACACAUGCAAGUCGAACGGCAGCACGGGAGCUUGCUCCUGGUGGCGAGUGGCGAACGGGUGAGUAAUACAUAGGAACAUACCCAGUAAUGGGGGAUAACGCCGAGAAAUCGGUGCUAAUACCGCAUACGCCCUACGGGGGAAAGCGGGGGAUCUUCGGACCUCGCGUUAUUGGAUUGGCCUAUGUCUGAUUAGCUAGUUGGUGAGGUAAAGGCUCACCAAGGCGACGAUCAGUAGCUGGUCUGAGAGGAUGAUCAGCCACACUGGAACUGAGACACGGUCCAGACUCCUACGGGAGGCAGCAGUGGGGAAUUUUGGACAAUGGGCGAAGACCUGAUCCAGCCAUUCCGCGUGAGUGAAGACGG
rnacentral:rRNA from 1 species